UAAUACGGAGGGUGCGAGCGUUGUCCGGAAUCACUGGGCGUAAAGGGCGCGUAGGUGGCCGAGCAAGGUCGCGGUGAAAGCCCGGGGCUCAACCCCGGGUCGGCCGUGGCAACUACUGGGCUGGAGCACUGUAGGGGCGGGUGGAAUUCCGGGUGUAGCGGUGGAAUGCGUAGAGAUCCGGAAGAACACCGGUGGCGAAGGCGGCCCGCUGGGCAGUUGCUGACACUGAGGCGCGACAGCGUGGGGAGCAAACAGGAUUAGAUACCCUGGUAGUCCACGCCGUAAACGAUGGGCACUAGAUGCUUGGGGGAGCGACCCUCCGAGUGUCGGCGCUAACGCAUUAAGUGCCCCGCCUGGGGAGUACGGCCGCAAGGCUG
rnacentral:rRNA from 1 species